rnacentral:rRNA from 1 species
AUUGAACGCUGGCGGCAGGCCUAACACAUGCAAGUCGAGCGAGCGGCGGACGGGUGAGUAAUGUAUGGGGACUGCCCGUUAGAGGGGGAUAACUACUGUAAACGGUGGCUAAUACCGCAUACUAUCGGAUAACCCAUAGGGGAUUAGAUAGUAGGUGGGGUAAAGGCUCACCUAGGCGACGAUCUCUAGCGGGUCUGAGAGGUUGAUCAGCCACACUGGGACUGAGACACGGCCCAGACUCCUACGGAGGCAGCAGUGGGGAAUUUUGCACAAUGGGCGCAAGCCUGAUGCAGCCAUGCCGCGUGUAUGAAGAAGGCCUUAGGGUUGUAAAGUACGUUCAGCGGGGAGGCGUUACCCGCAGAAGAAGCACCGGCUAACUACGUGCCAGCAGCCGCGGUAAUUC